CAUUCGGUACCAAAAGCACGAGACAUUGCUAAGACACCUCCUACUCUCCAAGUACCUGAAACGAAUCAACACAAGGUUUCUAGACUGCCAAAUAUUUGAUGGAUAAAAUAAAUGUUAUUUUGUUACUAUUUAGUUAUCUUACCAUUUAGUAUCUCGUGUGAUAUACAUGGGCAUUUGUAAAGAUGGAAAAACAAUAAUUAACUGUGCUCUUAAAAAAUAGUCUAUUGACCUUGACCUUGAACUCAUCCCAAACAGUCUUCUUCUAUGCCCAUUUCUAGACUUGUGCUCAUAAUCGUCACACUUUUGACCCAGAGAGAUUGCACUAUUUGCAAACCAAAAUAUGAGAGACCUUGGAGCAUUAAAAUACCCAAGCUACAUGAUUGCAUGGUAGAGGGAAGAGGUUAGAACUUUGUGCAUAAAAGUUAACCCAACAAGAGUUUUUUGAUAAUAAAAUAAAGAAGUUUAAACUCAGAAACCCAAUCUUCUACAGCCACUAAAAAAAAAAUACACUGUUAUUCAACAAGGAAGCAAUUAGUAUGAGCACGACCCACUAAUACUCAACCGCAACCCUCCCACGGGACCUUGGUUUUUGACUAAAAGGAAUUCAUUAUGCCAAUAUAUCAAUUGAUAUCAGAGUCUCAAAUCAAGUAGACAGGAUACACACAAGAUGAAGUCUUGCCUGCCCAAAUUACAAACACCUUCCAGCAUUUUCAAUUCUCUUCCUUCAUCAACCUUUUUUUUUUAUCGGUUUAUGAUCUCAGAAAGAGGAAUUGCUGUCAAACACGAAGAAAGAAAGAAAGAAGAAAGAAACUACGUAAGAAAUUACAGCCAAAACUUUCCAUUUUUAGGCUUUCUUUAUAUUGUGAAAAAGUUGUCACCAGGAAAACAACAAAAAAUAACUCAAUUAUACAAGUAUGAUGGAUAUAAUUCAAUGUUGUAUCCAACGUCGGCCACUACAAGAAGGUCCCACGUGUAUCAAGUAUUUUUCUGUUAUUGGGUUCUUCUGAAUAGUGCUAGGUACCCACGUUGAUCACAUAAUGCUUAGUGAAAGUUUACAUAAAUAAACUCCUUGACAUGGCUAGUUGGACAUCGACCAGGCAAGCCUGUUUGGUAAGUUUCCUAUAUAACAAUACAUAUAGCUCCCUUCCUAUUUUAGUUUCGGCGAAAAAAAGUUGCUGCAAAAUGAAUCAACCAUAGUUUUUGCGUUUCCCAGAAAAAAUAGUUUUCAUAAUUCCUUUUGUUGUAAUAGCAUUUACACUUCUUAAAUAAGUUUAUGACGUGAUGACAUAAUUGUUGUGCUAUGAGGUUCUCUCACCUUACCUAUUGUGAUGCCUGGGUUCAAGUCUUAUAGCUGACAGUUGCGGCUCCCUUCCCUCCUACCGAUGGUCAAAACAUAACAUAAAAAUAAAAACAGAGAACUUUCCUUCCUUGGCUUUCACUCAAAAACCAAAGUCAACCACAAUCGCACAUUACCAAGAAUGACUUUCCAUCCUUAUUCCCUUAAAAUAUCAUAAGCACAAACUCAACCACAAACACUCACACUUCUAAGCACAAUUACAUACCAUCACCUGGUUUUUGGGGUGUAAGACGCUUCGUGUCCACUUAGUAUUCAACACUAGUUGUUCGCCUAUAUUGAAAAAUGAUGACCAACAAAAACAAAGAAAAUAAAAUAAGAAAGAGAAGAAUCUUAGAACAAUGGAUCAAUUUAUAAGGUGGGUACAUAAAAAGGAAAUCUUCAAAGGCCAGAAGAUAGCAGUUAAUUUCCACAAAUUUCAUUCUCUAACUAGAAGAAAUGUCACAAAUGAGAACCACGUUUUUUGUUAAGAAUGAGGGAUCCUGUUUCCCUUCUAUCUCAAGCUAGUCGUAAAGCUCAUUACCUUGUAAGAUUUUAAUGUCCUAAACAAUAGCUUUUCUGCUUCUAAUGCCAAGUUUAUGAUAGUAGUUGUUAACUUGAAAAAAUAGGCACCACGAACCGAUAUUACCCAAUCCAAACGUUCUCUACUCUUUCUGUCCUUUAUCCCUUUGUUCUCCAAAAACCCUAACGAUACUACAAAAUGGCUCCACUGUAUGUCCAGUUAACACUCCUUAAAGCCGCCAGAGAGAGAAACAAAAACCGAUUAUUAACUUGAACACAGGAGAAUGAACACAGGCAUGACAGAGGGCCCACAUUAAACAAAGUAGCGCGUGAACAAGAAGCAAUACAUGUUAAAUUACACCCACUUCUCCCAAAAAUCUGAUGAGCCUGAUCGACAGACACAAAAUAUCAAUGGAAAGCUUCAUUAACAACACAUCAUUGUGACCAAAAUAACCGUACAUUACUUGAACAGAGAAAAAAAAUGUGUUUUUUUUUAUAUAGAGUGCAACACCCCUACGUGAUUCGAAUUACAAUAUGAUUUUCAAAAAAAUAUUGUAGUACAUCAUACGUCGAGCUCGGUUCAAAUUCACCGAACCGGACUAACAUAAAACCAUUUAAAGCGUUACAUACUUAAGAUUUCUUCUCACAUGCAAAUUCAAUUUCAUCAUAUCAGUUGUUGCAUAAUUAUUACACCAACCGUCCUUCCGUAUUUUCAUCAAGUGAAAAUGAGCCACGCUAUCCUGAAUUUGCUUCAAUAUCAUAACAUGUGCUUAAUCCCAAGAUAUUGGAAUCUUCUUUCGACCCCAACAGAUAUUUACAAAUUUUGCAAACAAUUGUAAUGUGAAAAGUUACCUUUACCAGGCCUUCGAGAUAACCAGUCCGUGAAUACUCCACCGUUGGCAAAACAUAUAAAUGGUUACAAACCAGAACUGCGGUGUGCAGGAAGCAGUAGAACCAUCAUCCCUGUACAAGUAUCUUUUCGACUCCAAAAAAAUCCAAGCAUGUCUGUUUGUUUUUGGGGAUAUGUUUCACCUGCCAAUUUACCCAAAUUCAAUAGGUGAAAAAAAUGUCUCUCAAUAUGUGUGAAGUGGUAAAGUGGUAAUCUUUCCAGGAAAAACAACACAUACUGCAAAACAGAUAUGAGGAUAAAGGUGAAAGCCAGAUAUAUAUAUAUAUAUAUAUUAUAUCAAAAUAACAAAUUAAAAUGUAAGAAGUGAGCAAAUAAAUAAAGCGGGUUUUAAAACCCUCCAGUGUGAUCAGUCAUCCGAGGCCGGCGGCGGUUUGUGUUUAAAUAAAUGACUGAAAAUGAAAUUUGGACUGAAAUCAAACAUUUUAUUGAAAUAUACAAAAAACAAAAACUUACAAGAUUGACUGAUGAAAAACUGUGAAGAUCUUAAGAAUUGUUACGAAUACAUUAUUGAAUUAUUUACAGGUAGAAGGAGGCUAGAAGGUUCGAGAAGAUUGGAAGGCGUAGUGGGAAGUGAGUUCUCUCCCAAGUUUCUGGCUCCUCUUUCUUUGUGACUCAGGUUGUCUUAAAUAGGCUCCAAGAGAGAUCGUUCGUCCGUGAAAAACGGAAGUCUUUCGGUGGAAAAGUGAAUGAACAGUGAAAGUAAACAGUGAACAGUGAUGUACAGUGAAAGUGACCAGUACUAUGUGAACAGUGACUGUCGGUGAUUUUACUAUUUUAACAAAAGCUGUCUAUCAAAAAGUGAUGUAGUGACUGAAGUUGUCAAUUAAGCAAAAGGAUCUUGGCAUCUGAGCUUGCGCCCGUAGGGAUCGGGGAUUUGACUGGCUGACGAGCAGUGGAGUGUUGGAGCUAGCUGACUCUUCUUUAUGCUGAUUGGGCUUGGGCUGGAACUUGGGCCAAGAGUAGAUGGCUGAAGUGGAACACAAAAAUCUUAAAACAUAGGGUCUUUAAUUUCUGGGUUAUCGUACGUAUCAGAAGCAAUUAACCUCUUCUUUAGUGAACCCGUCCACAAGAAUAUUAAAGACCCUAUUGAACUUGCUAAAUUCUUCUUUCCUCCGCGGAUGGCAUUUUACCUCCAAUGCACCCUGAUAAGACCAUGCUUUUUAUAAAGAUAUCCUACUUUAAAAUCAGCAGUCGGCUUUAAACCUAUCUUUGAUAAACGGAUCCUAGUAAAGUCCAUGUACCAUUCCUAUCAUCACAAUAUCGUCUCUCUUGACGAAUGGGGUCAUCCCUCUAUUCUCAGAGACUUACCCAAUCAUCCCAUUCAGUAUAGUUACUAUGAUUAUAUUGAAGCCUGGUGCAAAGUCCUUCUGCAUCAAAAUGAGUCAUUUCUUCAUUCGUGGUUCUUUUCUUUUGACCACAAGUUUAAAUCAGUCAUCCCCUCCUGAUUUCUCCGUUGGUGGGAUUUUCAUGGAGCCAUUCCUGAAAUCUUACCAAGUGAUCUCUCUGAUCAAGUCACCUAUUUCUCCACUAAAUACAAAGUCAUCGACCAUAUAGUCAUUUCCCCAGUCUCUUGCUUUUUAUGGCUAAAUACAAGGUCCCUUGGUGUUCAAGUGGACCAGUUACAAAGAUUGCAAAAAAUAGUAUUUAGACAAACAUUUGUUAAAUGGUGGGAUGCCUCCACAUCCCCGUAUCAUCGAACAGGUCAAGCUUGAAUUCCCAGUUCGAGUUCCUACUCUACUCCAGUCAAACAGGUCCCAGAGGCCCCUGCCCCUGCUAAGUCAAGGCAAGCUAUGCAACAACAAAACUGGAUAGCCCUCCCCAGUUCAAAACAAGUAAACCAAAAACCAAGUCAUCAAAAACAAGUCAAAGACAACUGAGUGUAUUCACGACAAUACUGAACUGCCUUCGAGUAGCCAAUCUACUAUUGGCCCAAGUCCAAGCCCAACCCAAUCAGCAGUAAAAAGAUGUUAAAAGAAGAGUCAGCCAGCUCCAAGAGCUUCCACUGCUCAGUUAGGCCCAGUCAGAAGUCCCCGGAUCCUACGGGUCGCACAAGCUCAAGAUGCCCAAGUUCCUUUUGCUUAAUUUGACAGUUCAGUCACUAUAUCAAUUUUUGAUAGAAAAGCUGAUGUUAAAAUAGUAAAAUCAAGAACAGUCACUGUUCACCAUGAGUACUGGGUCACUUCACAACUGUUCAUUAAAUUUUCAAAAGAAAGAUUCCGGCUUUUUCACGGUACGAACGAUCUCCUUGGACGCCUAUUUAAGACAACCUUAAGUCACAAAGAAGAGGAAGCCAAACUUGGGAGAGAACUCACUUCCAAUACGACUUCAUCUCUCUAACCUUCUAUCCUCCUUCUACCUGUAAACAAUUCAACAAUGUAUUCAGUAACAAUUCUUAAGAUCUUCACAGUUUUUCAGUCAAUCUUGUAAGUUUUUGUUUUUUGUAUAUUUCAAUAAAAUUUUUAUUCAGUCAAAUUUCAUUUCAGCCAUUUAUUUAAACACAAACCGCCGCCGUGCUCGGAUUACCGACACACUGGAGGGUUUUACCGCUUUAUUUAUUUGCUCACUUGCUUACAUUUUAAUUUUUUCUAAGGUAUUAUUAAGGCUCAUAAAAGGUUUAUCUUUCUGUAGUUUAGGUUCUGUCCAGAAGGAUUUUAGUUAUUACUUGUUGUUGUUUUAAGCUAUCAUCUUUAGUUUAUAAAUUCUAUGACUACUUCUUCUUCUUUUGGAAUUUUUGUGAGUACAGUGGAUUGUUUGACAACAAGUGUAUUACAGCAAUAUUGGAUAUUAUUCAGUACUGGAUGAUGAAUAAAUAGGUGAAUCCCUGGGGACUGUCUAAAUUAUCGUCAGAAAGUAAGGUUCUAUGGUAGUUAAUUUAAAUAUUUCAAAGAUUUUAUUCUUAUCUCUUCAGAGAUUUGUAGUUGUUUACUUUGACUUAGACCAACAUUCGUUCUUGUACUGGACCUUUUCUACCCACACUUGUGACCACGAAAUCUUUUUUAGAUGAUUUUUUUAAAAGUAGUGUUUUUUUUUGGUUAGACUUUUGUUUAGGGUUAUCAUAGAAUUAUUAGGUGGGAUUUAUCUGGUUAUGUUUUUUGUGGGAGCGAAAUUCUUUAAAUUUGUUAUGUUUAUGUUUUCUUACUGAAGGGGCAACUGGGGGCAAACCAUAUGCUCACAAAAGUCCUAAUUCAUAUUUAGCUUGUUUUAUCCUUGUGGUCUUGAUUUCUAAUUUUCAUAUCAAUACACAUUCGUAAGCCUUCUUUUUAAUAGUGUGAUUAUGCGCCAUAGGUUAAGUGAUCAUAAUUCUAUGUUUCCUGUAGGGUUGAUAGGAUAUCUCUGAUUUUGUGGGCAAAAAAGGCAGGUAAAACCAUAAUAAAUUUUGCUUGCAAAGGGUUUAUAGUAGAUUGGCUGGACUUGUGUCAAAUUGAAAACAUACAUACCUACGGAUUCGACCCUGUCUUUACAAGAGAGAGAUCGAAUGGCGAAUUCAGCGCAUUUGUGGAUACAGCAAAGAAUUAUUUAUCUUAAUAAUAAAUAUAUAUCUAAGUGAUUGAACUCUUUCUGCAGAUGUCUUCUAGUUAAAAAUUCCCCCUACAGACAGCUUGCCUCCUGGCCCUUCAAUAGAGAUUUUUCCUUCUCUUGAACUAGUCAACAGAUACCAAAUUCUGGGCUCCAUACCAGACCUGCUUACACCUCUGUUCUGCAUCUAGUACCAAAUGACCUCUUUCGCUAAUCAUUACGUCACCAGUCUGAUUACCUAUUAAAACCCCAUUAUACUAACCUCUUCUUAUUGAACACGUCCACAAGAAUAUUAAAGACCCUAUUGAACUUGCUAAAUUCUCCUUUCCUCCCGGGAUGGCAUUGUUCCUCCAAUGCACCCUGAUAGUCAAUUGUUUUUAUAAAGAUAUCCUCUUUAAACACAGUCAGUCGUCUUUAAACCUAUCUUUGAUAAACGUGAUCCUCGUAAGCAUUUACCAUUCCUUAUUACAUCACAAUAUCUCUCUCUUACGAAUGGGGUCAUCCCUCUAUUAUCAGGACUACCAAUCAUCCCAUUCAGUAUAGUUACUAUGAUAGAUUAAGCCUGGUGCAAAGUCCUCUGCAUCAAAAUGAGUCAUUCUUCAUUUGUGGUUCUUUCUUAGACCACAAGUUUUAAAUCAGUCAUCCUCCUGAGUUCUCCGUGGGUGGAUUUGUCAUGGAGCCUCCUGAAAUCUUACCAGUGAUUCUCUGAUCAAGCACUAUUCUCCACUACAGACAAAGUCACCGACCAUAUAGUCAUUUCCCCAAUCUCUUGCUUUUUAUGGCUAAUACAGGUCCCUUGGAUAUUCAAGUGGCAGUACCAUUAUGCCAAAAAUAUUAGUUAUCAGGGACCCACAUUUUGUUAAUGGUGGGGAUGCUUCAAACAUCCCCGUAUCAUCGAACAGGUCAAGCUUGAAUUCCCAGUUCGAGUUCAUAAUCCAGUCAAACAGGUCCCAGAGGCCCCUGCCCCUGUGAGUCAAGUGAUAUUCUUGGGUUUAUACAAAUCUUGAAAUCACUGAGCGUUGGGCAAGCUGAGGUUACUUAAUUGGUCGUGUAUUCUGGAGUGUAUGUCACUAGGCGUUCCUAUAAAAUGUUUAAUGCUUGUGUAAAUUAAAGUGUUAAUUCACAUCGGGUUUACUUGAUCCAAUAGUUUCAAUCAAAAAUAGGAAGGUUAUUUAGUCUAGUUGAAUAGCAUUUUUUAAACUUCUCUGACUCCUCAGUA
rnacentral:lncRNA from 1 species